AUAAACACUGCUAUCACAGCAAGCAUCCACAGAAUGAAACAAGUGAUGAAAAGGAUAUUUAACAACAGACAACAUGUACACCGAGGACUAUUGUUCAGACAGAGGUCACAGGCAAUUAUUUUAAACAAAGCAGCACAAGAACUGUGUUCAGAAGUGUUCAGAUCUGUCACAGCAAAUAUUGUCCCAAAGUCUGCGACAACACUCUAAGAAUGUCAUCGAUCAUCGAUUUUGUUUUAGGAUGCGCGAUGCGCGCGGAUGAAGGACUCACCACCAUUGAAAGAAAUAUCUUGUCCUUUGUGGAUGUGUUAGAGACAAUAAGGAGAUCUCGUAACCCCCCAAAACAGAAAAGACAAUCAAAUAAGAACAAGAUGAAACACCACCGCCAGGGAGAUUAGUGUGGGUGUGACCGCGCUGGUGUGGGUGACAACAUCAAAUGCUGCCUAAUCCAAGUCAGUGGGGGGUUGCAGUUACACUGAGGUCCAUGGUGAGGUCAGCUGUGAUCACGCGGUAAUCCUCUAGGAGAGGCCGGCAGACUGGAGGAAG